AGAAAGGUAAGCUAAAUUUAAGCUUUUAGGUUCAUACCCUGAAAAUAGAAUUUUAUUCUUCUUUCUA
rnacentral:tRNA from 1 species